rnacentral:rRNA from 1 species
UACGUAGGGGGCAAGCGUUGUCCGGAAUCAUUGGGCGUAAAGAGCGUGUAGGCGGCCCGGUAAGUCCGCUGUGAAAGUCCAGGGCUCAACCCUGGGAUGCCGGUGGAUACUGUCGGGCUAGAGUGCGGAAGAGGCGAGUGGAAUUCCCGGUGUAGCGGUGAAAUGCGCAGAUAUCGGGAGGAACACCUAUUGCGAAGGCAGCUCGCUGGGACGUAACUGACGCUGGAGACGCGAAAGCGUGGGGGAGCAAACAGG